rnacentral:rRNA from 1 species
AUUGAACGCUGGCGGCAGGCCUAACACAUGCAAGUCGAACGGAGUGGCGGACGGGUGAGUAAUGUCUGGGAAACUGCCUGGUAGUGGGGGAUCACGUCGGGAAACGGGCGCUAAUACCGCAUACUAUCGGAUGAGCCUAGGGCGGAUUAGCUAGUGGGUGGGGGAAGGGCCUACCAAGGCGACGAUCCGUAACUGGUCUGAGAGGAUGAUCAGUCACACUGGAACUGAGACACGGUCCAGACUCCUACGGGAGGCAGCAGUAGGGAAGAUUGGACAAUGGGCGAAAGCCUGAUCCAGCCAUGCCGCGUGUGUGAAGAAGGUCUUCGGAUUGUAAAGCACUUUAAGUUGGGAGGCGUUACCAACAGAAUAAGCACCGGCUAACUUCGUGUCAGCAGCCGCGGUAAUAC